GUGAGCUACGUGGGGAACUAAUUAGGCCACCUUCAUUGGACACUCCAACCAAAAUAGCAGGGAACUACAGAUGGGAUCCGUAUUUUAAGGAUUGUAUUGGAGCUAUUGAUGGUACACAUGUAAGAGCCAUUGUUCCUAGAGAUAUGGAGCAUGCCUUUCGUGGUAGGAAGUCCUAUGCGACUCAAAAUGUAAUGGCGGCUGUAGAUUUUGAUCUACGCUUCACUUAUGUGUUGGCUGGUUGGGAGGG